UCCAGGGUAGCCUAGUGGACAUGGCAUCUGCCCGGUAAGCGGAACACUGUGGUUCGAUUCCCAUCCCUGGAC
rnacentral:tRNA from 1 species